rnacentral:rRNA from 1 species
CACCACAGAAGGUAAUAGUCCUGUAUGUUAAACGAGAAGACUUUAGAUAUGAUCCAGAGUACCACGGGACACGUGAAACCCUGUGGGAAGCAGGAGGGACCACCCUCCAAGGCUAAAUACUACCUAGUGACCGAUAGCGUAUAGUACCGGGAGGGAAAGGUGAAAAGAACCCCGGGAGGGGAGUGAAAUAGAACCUGAAACCCUGCACUUACAAGCUGUGGAAGAACAUUUCUUGUGUGACCGCGUACUUUUUGUAGAACGGGCCAACGAGUUACGUUAAGUAGCAAGGUUAAGCACUUAAGGUGCGGAGCCGUAGCGAAAGCGAGUUUUAACUGAGCGUUCAGUUACUUGACGUAGACCCGAAACCGGGCGACCUACCCAUGAGCAGGA